GAAGGUAGCGUAAUCAUUUGUCUUUUAAAUAGAGACCUGUAUGAAUGGCAUAACGAGGGUUUAACUGUCUCCCUCCCCCAGUCAAUGAAAUUGAUCUGCCCGUGCAGAAGCGGGCAUAAACACAUAAGACGAGAAGACCCUAUGGAGCUUUAGACAAAAGAUCAAACAUGUAAAGAAACCAAACCAACCAAAAGGAACACAAAGGCCACAAAACCCAACGUAAAAUGAUCAAAAUGUCUUCGGUUGGGGCGACCAUGGGGGAAAGAAAAGCCCCCACGAGGAACUAAGGGCAAUCCAUUAAGCCAAGAGAUACACCUCUAAGCAACAGAAAAUCUGACCAAAAAUGACCCAGGACACUAAUCCUGAUCAACGAACCAAGUUACCCUAGGGAUAACAGCGCAAUCCUUUCCCAGAGUCCAUAUCGACGAAAGGGUUUACGACCUCGAUGUUGGAUCAGGACAUCCUAAUGGUGCAGCCGCUAUUAAGGGUUCGUUUGUUC
rnacentral:rRNA from 1 species